GUCGAAGUGGUGAAAUUGGUAGACACGCUAGAUUCAGAGUCUAGUCCAGGUAACUGGGUAGGGGUUCAAGUCCCCUCUUCGGCACCA
rnacentral:tRNA from 1 species